rnacentral:tRNA from 1 species
UGCGAAUUGGUGUAAUAGUAACAUAUUUGACUCAUGAUCAAAUGAUAAAGGUGCGAAUCCUUUGUACGCGUC